rnacentral:rRNA from 1 species
CCUACGGGUGGCUGCAGUGGGGAAUAUUGGACAAUGGGGGAAACCCUGAUCCAGCGACGCAGCGUGAGUGAAGAAGUAUUUCGGUACGUAAAGCUCUAUCAGCAGGAAAGAAAAUGACGGUACCUGACUGAGAUGCUCCGGCUAACUACGUUCCAGCAGCCGCGGUAAUACGUCGGGGGCAAGCGUUAUUCGGAUUUACUGGGUGUAAAGGGGGCGUAGACGGCAGCGCAAGUCUGGAGUGAAAUGCCGGCGUCCAAACCCGGAACUGCCGUGGAAACUGUGAAGCUUGAGUGCAGGCGGGGUACGUGGAAUUCGUGGUGUAGCGGUGAAAUGCGUAGAUAUCAGGAGGAACACCGGUGGCGAAGGCGGCUUACUGGA